rnacentral:rRNA from 1 species
UACAUAGGAUGCAAGCGUUAUCCGGAAUGAUUGGGCGUAAAGCGUCUGUAGGUGGCUUGUUAAGUCCGCCGUCAAAUCCCAGGGCUCAACCCUGGACAGGCGGUGGAAACUACCAAGCUGGAGUACGGUAGGGGAAGAGGGAAUUUCCGGUGGAGCGGUGAAAUGCGUAGAGAUCGGAAAGAACACCAGCGGCGAAAGCACUCUGCUGGGCCGAAACUGACACUGAGAGACGAAAGCUAGGGGAGCGAAUGGG